GCGCUUCACACGAGACCCCUUGGCCCGGAACUUGCUAGGCGGAGAUAUCCGGGCUCACCGGGUAUCCUAGCUACGAAAGACGCUUUUUUUGAUGCGGAAAUGGCUAGGCGGAAGUGUCCGCCCAGUAAAUGUGGCCUGGCCGCGUUGUGAACCCUUCAGUGCAUGUAUCAACAGAAAAUACACCAGAGUUAGCAGGACUGGUGAGGAGAAGUACAGGACAGCCUGAGAAGCCUGACUACAGGAAGUCCGUUCAUGAAGUCAAAGAAAAGGGACAUCGCUCAGAGAUGGUAAAAUGGCCAGGUGGCCAUCUCAAUCAGAAAGGAUUUGGGGAUAAAGCUUGUAGACCUCCCAGUCUUCGGACCGUCUUCGGGUCUGUCCUGGUGUGUGAUCUUGGGAAGAUUUUAGUCUCAAGUAGUGGUUGAGUUCGUGACCUUAAAUUACACUCUGAGGCUCCCAAUUAUGUACGGCAAUGCGUCUUCUUCCUCUCCUAUCUUCUUUAAUGUUUUAAAAGCAAUUUUUUAAAAAGAGGCCUUAGGGGCUGGAGAGAUGGUUCGGGGGUCAAGAGUACUUGUUGCUCUUGCAGAGGACCUGGGUUCAGUUUCCAGCACUCCCAGGGCAGCUCACAACCAUCUGUGUGGUUGGACACCUCUUCUGACGUCUCCACAGGCUCCUGUAUGCACGUGGUACACAGGCACAUAAAUAUGCAAUAAAUGUAUUUUUAGAAAGAAGCCUCCGGUACUACAAAGGAUGUAAUACUUUUAACCUUUUGCUCAAAUGAAACAGGAAGGAGUUCUCGUUACUAAUUAUUGCGAAGCCCACACUGAUUUCAUUGUUGAAUUUCCACAGACCGACAGAAGUCUCAUGACAAUAAGAUGUCCUGCGGUCUUUCCCCAUAAGCUCAGUGCCUGAUGGGCUGCCCCAGACAACACAACAGAAGGGCCAAAGGGGAUUGGGAUUCGUUGUGAUGUGACUUGGACAAAGGUAAAGACAGUAAAAUGUUUCAACAGAAACUUAGAUAAAUUAAAUCAACUGCAGAUUCGCCAUUGAAUUCAGGCAUAUAUUGACAAAGACAAGUACUGAGAAAAUUCUAUGAAGACAGUAGGCCCUGAAAAUAAUUUCAUUAUUUAUUAAAGAAUCACAUUAAAAAAUCCUGUUUAAAAUUGACUCAAGCCCUACAUGAUGCAUGCCUGUAACUCCAGCACUCGGGAAAUGAAGGCGAAGAGGAUCAGAAGUUCAGAGCUAGCCUAGGCUACACGAGACCAUGUCUCAAGAAAAAAAAAUUAGUUGAUUAAACUUUUCCAAAUGUUUUAAACCAGUGGUUCCAACCCUGUGGCUCUCUACUAGAAUCAGCUGAGAAGUUUCUAAAUCAGAUCAAUGCCUAGACCUCAGACUUCAAUAGUGUAGGGGUUGGCACCGGUACAUUUUCCAAACUCCACCAAAUGAGCCUAAUGUGCCCCUAAUGUUAAAUAGCACUGUUUUGAAUAAAAUAAAUUAGAAAAUUGCCUUGACAGGCUGGUUAAAAACAGCAGCCACUCUUUAACACCAUCAUAUGAGGUUGCUUACCUAUAAAUCCAGACUUCACCCUCACUAAGAGAGAGGAAAUGCUCGAGAAAUGAUACUCCUGUUAUCUGUCUGGCUCAAAAGCAUGCUGUCCUCUCCUUCCGGCUCCAAAUCCAUGCGGUCCCUGGGUGGGCAGAGCUCUCGCCAGGCAAAGCAGAGUGAGUGAACAGAGAAAGUGUCUGUUUCUGGGGCAGGCCUCGGCAAGUCUCCGGCCACAGCUCACUUCCCUUCACCCUACUUUGGACGUGGUGCACCUUGGAUCCUGCAGUGUCCCCAGCCCCCGGCUGACCUGCCCGUUCUUGGCCCAUGGCUACUUUCCUACCUCCAUCGUUCUUCCAACUGAUUCAGCUUCCUCCUGCCCUGCUUGUCACCCAGGUCACACAAGAGAAAGUCCUGCUGCUGUUCUAGGUUUUGAACAAUGAUGGACAUUCUAUGUUAGUCAUCUUUUUUUACAUGAGGACCCAUUUCCUGAAAACUAUUCACAAGGACAUGGUUAAAACUGAGAGGCACCAACACCUGGAAUAAAAACUGGACUAACCAGCACCUUAAACUGGUCCAUGCCUCCAUCCAAUAAUGUCUUAGUCACUCAAAGGAGGAAGAUAGAAAAUUCCAGCAGUCAUCUAUAUCUAUGUAGCUUCAUGAAGACCCAAGCAAGUUUUGGCCACCUGCCUGCCUCCAGGGAGUAAAUCAGUGAUGACAUCAGACCUCCUAGAAACCUCAGAACAUCUGAUCCAGCCCACUUCCCACCACACCCCCAGCCUCCUGGUGAGCUCAGAUUCUGAAAGAUGCUGUUUCAUUUACAAUCAGCUAUACAUCUAUCCUUUACUAAAUCACGCCGUCCCUUUGUAAGAAAAUACUGCAUGCAGCAUGCCACCACCAGACACAGAAACCAGGAAGUCAUCCUUUAUCUCUGAAAGAUUUACAGGAACAUGGCCAGGGAUGGAGGGAUGACACAGCAAUAAAAAGGGCUUGCUCCUCCCACACUGUGUGGCUUGCAACCCGCUGGAACUCCAGCUCCAGGAGACCCAGCACAUCUGGCUUCCUCGGGCACCUGGACACAUUUGUACAUGUACACAAACACACACAGGGGA